rnacentral:lncRNA from 1 species
AUGUGGACAGGUAAACACCUUUCCAGCUACAUCGGUGGCCAGAAACUCAGCUUUGAAACUCGACUUCCGCUAGUGAACUUCCUUAACGGUCAUCUCAACAACUUGACAGACCCACUUGCCACUCAAGGUGUUGUUGACCACAACGGCGCCGGACUGACCAAGGAAUCCAGUACCUCUACGAUCAUUGAUGUCCACAGUGUCCCUGCAGCAGAACCACUCCUACCUGAGUUGGGAAAGCCACCUGACCCAGGGGAGGCUGACGCUUGCAGCGACGCUCCGCCUGAGACGCCACACCCUGCAGUGGGGACACCACCUGCCACAGGGAGAGUUGAUGGUGGCACUGAGACUCCAGCUGAAGCCCAGUACUUUGCGGUGGGAACACCACCUACCAAAAUGGGGGCCGACGCCAUCACUGACCUUACUCCACUACAGCUGGCGCUGCUGACCGCUACAAUUCCAUUAUCUAACUUCAAUAAUUCCUUGCAAUCAUUAGUUUCUAACUAAUGUGCCUGCUUCUGAGUUUUUAAAGUUUGUUUUAAGUCUGUUUUAUAUAUGAGAACAGUUCUUUGUCUUUAUGUCUAACUGUUUUAUCUUAUUUUUAUCUUACCUGUUCUUCUUUGGUGUAAAGCUAACUAUGUGUCUGUUGCUGCUGCCUCUUGGCCAGAUCGUCGUCGUAAAUGAGAAGGAGUUCUCAAUCGACUAUCUGGUUAAAUAAAGAUUAAAUGGAAAAAAAAAUCCUCAUGGACUACAGCUCCUCUCUCUAAAUCUAGAAAGACACAACACAGCUCUCUCUGACCAUUUCUACGUCUCCAUCAGCAUCCUUAGAGGCAAAAGAGCAUCUGAACUCUCUUAGUAUGAAAACUGAACUGCUGCUCACUUCUAUCCCCAAGCCUAGCUUCCACCAAUCCCAUACCUUUAUUAUGACUCUAGCAUCUGUUGAUGCCACAAUUCUUUACAUCUCUAUUGUUCUAGGAGACGAGACUGGCACCAGAAUGCCUUUCCUCCAUUGCUUCACACUUGUCAAAAUUUAGUUGAAAAACCUAAUAAAACCUUUUACUGCCACUUCUCCUUGAUGUUUCCAUAGGUAUAUCAUUAGGGCCAAUUGCCUUUCCCACGUGUAUCCUCACUAAUCAGCUAUUUCCUGUCCCACAACAAUCACCUAUUCUACUCCACAUUCUCUCUGCUUUUCUUCAGCCAUCAGCUUUAAAAAAUACUUCCCACGUUCCCAUCAAACACAUUUGCAUCCCUUCUUUAGUAACCUUAAUCUAAACUAGUGAAAGUUAAAGUGGUAGGGUUGUGGGUUGGAUUUGUAAAAUACGUGAAAUCAAGGAACGCUGUUGUAAAAUACCGGUUUUGGGGUAUUGCCGUAUUACCCGUAGUAGGAGGACUUUUUCUGUCUGAGCAGUUCCCAAUUGCGCCCACUGAGCGACGCACUGCGCAUGCUCCGCCUUGUAGCCGUUAGCAGAGCAGCAG